UCUGCUGAACCGCGCGCUGUGCGCACACGUGUCACCACGGGUUUGUUCCGCCGUUUCAGCAGAGAUUGCGCGAGGCUACUGAUGCUGGCAGCAGUGAUGUUUGGCAGUAAGAAAUCCUCCCCUGAUGAGCCGAAGCUCUUCAGCUGUACCCGACCAGAAAAUGAAGAGGACAGCGUGCUUUUAUCCAACGAGACAAGUCAAGUUACAGGAGUUAGAAUGUUUCAAUCACCAGCGCCAGGAAACUGUAAAGUGACUUUUUUUCAGCACUUCCUGCUCCAACAUACUCUGAAGAGUCCCACUGGAGUGCAGGUUGUGUAAACGGCACCGCUGUGUUGUGUGAAAACAGAAACACUCAAGUUAAACUUAAAAUAUGGAGCUGUUUUAACCUCCCCUGUAGUGCUGCCCCUGGGAUAACAUUUGUCGAACUGAAACCCACAUCAGCGCUACUUAAUGUAGCGGUCCGAAUGCUCCAGCGGAGCCGAUCGGUGACUGACAGUCGGAGGCUGCAGCAGGACCAGUCGGCUCCCAGGUGUCAGCGCUGCGCGAGCGUGGAACCAGAUGCUGCAAGAAAGAAAAACAAGGAGGCAUCCGCAGACAGUUCUCCCCUGAUAUCACUCCUAUAAAAAAAAAGAGAGGAGGAAAUAAAAAGGAAAACUUCA